rnacentral:rRNA from 1 species
AUUGAACGCUGGCGGCAGGCCUAACACAUGCAAGUCGAGCGAGCGGCGGACGGGUGAGUAAUGUAUGGGGACUGCCCGAUAGAGGGGGAUAACUACUGGAAACGGUAGCUAAUACCGCAUACUAUCGGAUAACCCAUAUGGGAUUAGCUAGUAGGUGAGGUAAUGGCUCACCUAGGCGACGAUCCCUAGCUGGUCUGAGAGGAUGAUCAGCCAACCUGGGACUGAGAAAGGGCCCAGAACCCUCCGGAGGCAGAGGUGGGGAAUAUGGAACAAGGGGGGCAAGCCUGAUGCAGCCAUGCGGGGUGUAUGAAGAAGGCCCUAGGGUUGUAAAGUACUUUCAGUCGGGAGGCGUUACCGACAGAAGAAGCACCGGCUAACUCCGUGCCAGCAGCCGCGGUAUUC